ensembl:lncRNA
AACCCUAUUUUAUAUAAUCGGAAGUUUGUGUGUUGUGCCCGCCAUCGGUUGAGACACAACAUGCUCUUGAAUACAGGGUUUUUACAUCAAAAGGAGGGAUGCUGUCAAAAAGUGAUUGAAUUCAUAUGGAUUUACCUCUUUCUCGCUCCUUAUCUCUCUUUUAUUAGUGUGAAGAUGGUGCUGCUGUGGACUGCUGGAGACAUCUUCAAGACUGCAUACUUUGUGAUGAACGACAGCCCGUUUCAGUUCUGUGUGUGUGGGGCAGUCCAGAUCCUUAUCGACGUAGCCAUCCUGCUGCAGGAUGCCGCUGAAGGGCCCUGCCCUGCUUUAGGGAGCAUGUCGCCUGUCAUGUCGGUGGCCACCUGCUCCCUAACACCUGUGGAUCACAGCGGGCCAGACAGGGGCUUUAGCCCAGGGAUUUUACACCCCUCCCCAUCCCUGCCUACCCCACCUAACCUCCCGCUAGCUACGAUAUCAGACGUGCCUGAUGUCCAUCUAUGCAGUACUCUCUCUUUAAAUGGUCAGACUCUCUUUUUCCACUAUCUCAUCCCCAGUGUGACUUUUCUCCUCUUUUGAUAGGCUAGAAUGACUGCAACACACAUACAUUUUAGGGAAUGCACGUGGGCAUGCAACACACACACACACACUAGACAGAAGGUGGGAGGAGAUUUUCCUCCCCUCACCUGGGUUUUGCUAAAAAGAGACUUAUUUUCUCCAGUAUUACUCACCCUUUAUGGACCUUUCAUCCCCAGUGUCAAUUAUUAACCACUCUGAUACACACAGGAAAGAGGGGAUUAAUGCUGCUCCAAUGGUGCAACUCUUCAGUUUUAGAGGAAACUUUAUUUGUUGUUUUAAUGUGACAGAAGUCCAUCUAUAUAUGCAUUUUGUAGAUGGUUAUGUUUUUUGGGCCUACAGUGCCUUCUGAAAGUAUUCACACCCCUUGACUUUUUCCACAUUUUGUUGUUUUACAGCCUGAAUGAAAAAAUUGAUUACAGUUUUUUUGGAUUGCUUACACACUAAAAUUAAAAGUAGUACACUAUUAGCAAAACCUUACACUCAAGAAGCAAAACAUCAGGCCAUAUUUGCACAACUAUAAGCACAUUGUCAACCUUACACUUGUUGCAAAACUCUACACACAGUGAUUUGCAAAACACUAAACACACUUAACAUACAUUACACACAAAAAUUUAUCAUGAAGUCACAUCCUUGCAAUACCAAAGCACUGACUGUCAGAUUACCACACCCUCCAACCUAUUGGUUCAACACAGUCAUCAGGUGUGCAAACACUCGUUUGCUUAAUUGUAGACACACCAAUCAGGUGUAUUAGCACUAUAAAAAGCAGCAGGUGAGUUCAUCGGCCUUCAAGCACAAUGGAAAGAGUCAGAGAAAGAGGAGGAGGAGAACGAGGAGGACGGGGAGGACGAGGAGAACGAGGAGGAGGAAGACAAGAAGGUGCUCAAAGAGGACCGAAUCUCACAAAUGAGAUCCGCGCAACACUGGUUGACCACGUUGUCAACCACGGCCUGACGCUGAGGGAGGCUGGACUGCGAGUACAGCCAAAUCUAAGCCGAUAUACAGUGGCAAGUGUGAUGAGAACAUUUAGACUGGAAAAUAGGUAUUGUAAAAAUAUCAUCAUAUCAAAAACAUCUGCACGGUUUCAGUAACUGCUUACAGUACUGUAUUCUAUGCACUAUCAGCACUUCUGUUACCUUUUCCUAUGAAAUUACUGUACUAAUGUAUACUGAUUUUUUUCUACAUAGGAUUGAGGGUCAGGAACAACAAGGGGGAAGGCCUCCUAUGUUCACAGAACAGCAAGAGAGGGAGAUAGCAUUGUUGGCCAAAAACAUGUUUACUAUAACACUCAAGCAGCUCCAAGCUAACAUUGUCAAUAACCACGCCCUUUUCAACGAUAUCCAUCAGGUCUCAACAUCAACACUGCCACGCAUCCUAAAGAAUAAACAUAUUCAAAUGAAGCAAAUUUAUCGAGUGCCUUUCGAGCGCAAUUCCGAAAGGGUGAAACGAUUGCGGCAUGAUUAUGCAGAGGUAUGUAUUCACUUUAGCAGUGUGAUCUUGCAUACUGUCUCAUAAUCUUUUACUGUACUGUAAUAUGUAUACUAGAUCUACACUGAACUACACAAUUUUGCCUGACACUGUUUUUCAGAGAGUUUUACGAAUGGAUGGAGAGGAGAUCCAGCAUCAGUUCAUUUACGUAGAUGAGGCUGGGUUCAACCUGACGAGAACACGAAGGAGGGGAAGAAACAUCAUUGGCCACAGGGCUAUAGUCAAUGUCCCAGGGCAACGUGGGUGUAAUAUAACACUCUGUGCAGCCAUCACACAGAAUGGGGUCCUCCACCGCCAUGCCCAUAUGGGCCCUUACAACACAGCACUCAUACUUACAUUCUUGGACCAAUUGCACAACAUAACAGCAUCAAAUCGAUCAUAUGAAAUACAUUGUUGUCUGGGACAAUGUGUCUUUCCACCGCUCUGGUCUGGUUCAGAUCUGGUUUCAGCAACAUCCACAUUUCACCGUCCUAUAUCUUCCACCAUACUCUCCAUUCCUCAACCCUAUAGAAGAGUUUUUCUCGGCAUGGCGGUGGAAGGUAUAUGAUCUCCGUCUCCAGGCUGAGGUACCCCUCAUCCAAGCCAUGGAGGAGGCCUGUGACCAGGUGGAGGUAGCAGCAAUGCAAGGAUGGAUUCGUCAUUCAAGACGUUUCUUUCCAAGGUGUCUUGCUAAUGACAACAUUACCUGCGAUGUUGAUGAAAUUCUCUGGCCAGAUCCAGCUAGGCGAAGAGACAAUGUCUAGUUAUUUUUAUUUUUUUAUUUUGAUCUUACAAUACGUAAAGUGACGUUGGUUACAGUAUUAUGAAUCUCCAUGUCAACAUUUUGGGCGUGUUGAGAAAUAAAUGAGUUUCUUCAGUCUGCAACAUUGGUCUUGUGUAGUGUUUGGUGAAUUGACAUUAUAUUUGUACUUUGUUGAUAGUAGCCUACUCUAAUCAUAGGGAAGUAGAAGUGCUAAAAGUGUUUUAGGUUUAUCACAGCAGAGUGUAACUCGUGCAAACAGAGCAUAGUAAUGUAAAACGUGUGUGUUUCAUAUGGUAACAAAGUGUGGUUUUUAAAAAGAAGUGUAUAGUUUUUACAAGAGUGUUUAAUUUUGCAAAGGAUCUGUAGUGUUUUGCUAAUUGGGUGUGUGGUUGUGCUAAUUGUGUGGAGUGUUUUGAAAACACGGGCCCGGUUUUGAAAAUCGUGCUUAAGCAAUCAAAAAAAACUGUAAAUUGAAUUUCUGUGUCAUUGGCCUACACACAAUAACCCAUAAUGUCAAAGUGGAAUUAUGUUUUUAGAUUUAAAAAAAUAAACAAUUAAACAUGAAAAACUGAAAUGUCUUGAGUCAGUAAGUUUUCAACCCCUUUGCUAUGGAAAGCCUAAAUAAGUUCAGGAGUACAAAUGUGCUUAGCAAGUCCCAUAAUAACUUUCAUGGACUCACUCUGUGUGAAAUAAGAGUGCUCAACAUGAUUUUUGAAUGACUACCUCAUCUCUGUAACCUUAGAGGUCCCUCUGUCGAGCAGUGAAUUUCAAACAAAGAUUCAAACAAAGACCAAUGAGGUUUUCCAAUGCCUCGCAAAGAAGGGCACCUAUUGGUAGAUGGGUAAAAAAUAAAAAAGCAGACAUUGAAUAUCCCUUUACACAUGGUGACGUUAUAAAUUACACUUUGGAUGGUGUAUCAAUACUCCCAGGCUCUACAAAGACACAGGCAUCCUUCAUAACUCAGUUGCCAGAGAGGAAAGAAACUGCUCAGGGAUUUCCCUCAGAGGCCAAUGAUGACUUUAAAACACUUACAGAGUUUAAUGGCUGUGAUAGGAGAAAACUGAGGAUGGAUCAACAACAUUGUAGUUAUUCCACAAUACUAACCUAAUUGACAGAGUCAAAAGAAGUAAGCAUGUACGGAACACAAAUAUUUCAAACCAUGCAUCCUGUUUGCAACAAGUCACUAAAGUAAUACUGCAAAAAAUGUGGAAAGGCAAUUCGCUUUUUGUCCUGAAUACAACGUGUUAUGUUAGGGACAAAUCAGAUACAACACAUUACUGAGUACCACUGUCCAAAGUUUCUAGCAUAGCGUUGGCUGUAUCAUGUUAUGGGUAGGCUUGUAAUUGUUAAGGACUGGGAUAUUUUCAGUAUAAAAAAUAAACAGAAUGGAGCUAAGCGCAAGCAAAAUCUUAGAGGAAAACCUGGUUCAAUCUCCUUUCCACCAGACACUGGGAGAUGAAUUCACCUUUCAGCAGGACAAUAACCUAAAACACAAGGCCCCUUUCCCUUUCCUUUCCAAAUAUACAAUGGAGCAGCAGGUAAAUUCACUGGGGAAGCCAAGCCAGGAAAAAAAGUGUUGUGAAAACUGCGCUGUUUGUUUUAUGACCGGUUCAUUCAUAUGCCUUGUCACUAUGAUAUAUAGGCCUAAGCCCGAGACAAUAAGAAGACACAGUGGCAGAAUAAAUUCACCUUUGUUUCAUCACAAAACCAAAGAGCAACAUGUGUCCGGUGAAGCCCACAAAACAGUUUUCAUGUAGCAAGUUAUGUUUCCAACAUUUUCGGACUAAUAAACAACUAUUGCUUUAGAACCACGGAGGUACUGCAAAUCGAAAAGAAAGCAGGAACUGCCUCAACUAUUCCAGCAUUAUUUCAACUUUAACAUUUCAACAUGAUCAAAUCACCUAUGCUCAGUUUAAUAGUGACAACUAAAAGAUACCAAAAACAAUUUUGUCCAAUCAAUGUAAUAAAGGUAUGUCGUGGCUGUCAAUGGUACUGAUUUGUGUGUGUGUGAGAGAAUUGAGUGUUAAUUUCUCUACCAUAAACCACCUCCAGCGUCAUGUUAGAGAAUUUGGCAGUACGUCCAACCGGCCUCACAACUGCGUGUAACCAC